AUUGAACGCUGGCGGCAGGCCUAACACAUGCAAGUCGAGCGAUCGGCGGACGGGUGUGUAAUGUCUGGGAAACUGCCUGAUGGAGGGGGAUAACUACUGGAAACGGUAGCUAAUACCGCAUACCAUCAGAUGUGCCCAGAUGGGAUUAGCUAGUAGGUGGGUUAACGGCUCACCUAGGCGACGAUCCCUAGCUGGUCUGAGAGGAUGACCAGACACAGUGGAACUGAGCAACGGUCAAGAUUCCUACGGGAGGAAGAAGUGGGGAAUAUUGCACAAGGGGGGAAAGCCUGAUGAAGCCAUGCGGCGUGUGUGAAGAAGGCCUUCGGGUUGUAAAGCACUUUCAGCGGGGAGGCGUUACCCGAAGAAGAAGCACCGGCUAACUCCGUGCCAGCAGCCGCGGUAAUUC
rnacentral:rRNA from 1 species